AGAGGGGUGCAAGCGUUAAUCGGAAUGACUGGGCGUAAAGGGCACGUAGGCGGGCUACGUAAGUUACAGGGUGAAAUCUCGGGGGCUCAACCCCGAGCGGUCCUGUAAUACUGUGUAGCUAGAGUACAGUAGAGGUGAGUGGAAUUUCCGGUGUAGCGGUGAAAUGCGUAGAUAUCGGAAGGGACACCAGUGGCGAAGGCGACUCACUGGGCUGACACUGACGCUGAAGUGCGAAAGCGUGGGUAGCAAACAGGAUUAGAUACCCUGGUAGUCCACGCUGUAAACGAUGAGUACUAGAUGUUGGACGGCGUUGACUGUUUAGUAUCGAAGCUAACGCGUUAAGUACUCCGCCUGGGGAUUACGACCGCAAGGUU
rnacentral:rRNA from 1 species